rnacentral:rRNA from 1 species
GACGAACGCUGGCGGCGUGCUUAACACAUGCAAGUCGAACGGAAAGGCCCUGCUUUUGUGGGGUGCUCGAGUGGCGAACGGGUGAGUAACACGUGAGUAACCUGCCCUUGACUUUGGGAUAACUUCAGGAAACUGGGGCUAAUACCGGAUAGGAGCUCCUGCUGCAUGGUGGGGGUUGGAAAGUUUCGGCGGUUGGGGAUGGACUCGCGGCUUAUCAGCUUGUUGGUGGGGUAGUGGCUUACCAAGGCUUUGACGGGUAGCCGGCCUGAGAGGGUGACCGGCCACAUUGGGACUGAGAUACGGCCCAGACUCCUACGGGAGGCAGCAGUGGGGAAUAUUGCACAAUGGGCGGAAGCCUGAUGCAGCAACGCCGCGUGCGGGAUGACGGCCUUCGGGUUGUAAACCGCUUUCGCCUGUGACGAAGCGUGAGUGACGGUAAUGGGUAAAGAAGCACCGGCUAACUACGUGCCAGCAGCCGCGGUGAUACGUAGGGUGCGAGCGUUGUCCGGAUUUAUUGGGCGUAAAGGGCUCGUAGGUGGUUGAUCGCGUCGGAAGUGUAAUCUUGGGGCUUAACCCUGAGCGUGCUUUCGAUACGGGUUGACUUGAGGAAGGUAGGGGAGAAUGGAAUUCCUGGUGGAGCGGUGGAAUGCGCAGAUAUCAGGAGGAACACCAGUGGCGAAGGCGGUUCUCUGGGCCUUUCCUGACGCUGAGGAGCGAAAGCGUGGGGAGCGAACAGGCUUAGAUACCCUGGUAGUCCACGCUGUAAACGGUGGGUACUAGGUGUGGGGUCCAUUCCACGGGUUCCGUGCCGUAGCUAACGCUUUAAGUACCCCGCCUGGGGAGUACGGCCGCAAGGCUAAAACUCAAAGGAAUUGACGGGGCCCCGCACAAGCGGCGGAGCAUGCGGAUUAAUUCGAUGCAACGCGUAGAACCUUACCUGGGUUUGACAUGGAUCGGGAGUGCUCAGAGAUGGGUGUGCCUCUUUUGGGGUCGGUUCACAGGUGGUGCAUGGCUGUCGUCAGCUCGUGUCGUGAGAUGUUGGGUUAAGUCCCGCAACGAGCGCAACCCUUGUUCACUGUUGCCAGCACGUUAUGGUGGGGACUCAGUGGAGACCGCCGGGGUCAACUCGGAGGAAGGUGGGGAUGACGUCAAGUCAUCAUGCCCCUUAUGUCCAGGGCUUCACGCAUGCUACAAUGGCUGGUACAGAGAGUGGCGAGCCUGUGAGGGUGAGCGAAUCUCGGAAAGCCGGUCUCAGUUCGGAUUGGGGUCUGCAACUCGACCUCAUGAAGUCGGAGUCGCUAGUAAUCGCAGAUCAGCAACGCUGCGGUGAAUAAAUUCCCGGGGCU